UACAGAGGUGGCAAGCGUUGUUCGGAAUUACUGGGCGUAAAGGGCGCGUAGGCGGCCUUCUAAGUCAGACGUGAAAUCCCCCCGGCUUAACCUGGGAACUGCGUCUGAUACUGGGAGGCUUGAGUAUGGGAGAGGGAUGUAGAAUUCCAGGUGUAGCGGUGAAAUGCGCAGAUAUCAGGAGGAACACCGGUGGCGAAGGCGGGUCGUC
rnacentral:rRNA from 1 species